ACGGGUGAGUAACGCGUAUCCCAACCCUUCCCCCCAGGUAGGGCAUAGGCCCGGCGAAAGUCGGAUUUAAUACCCCUAUGUUUUUUCCGAAUGAGGACAUCUGAGCUGGAACAAAGAUUUUAUCGCUGGGGGGAUGGGGAUGCGUCCGAUUAGGUUGUUGGCAGGGUAACGGCCCACCAAGCCCGCGAUCGGUAGGGGUUCUGAGAGGAAGGUCCCCCACACUGGUACUGAGACACGGACCAGACUCCUACGGGAGGCAGCAGUGAGGAAUAUUGGUCAAUGGGCGUAAGCCUGAACCAGCCAAGUAGCCGUGCAGGACGACGGCCCUAUGGGUUGUAAACUGCUUUUAUGCGGGGAUAAAGUGAGGUAUGUAUACCUUUUUGUAGGUACCGCAUGAAUAAGGACCGGCUAAUUCCGUGCCAGCCGCCGC
rnacentral:rRNA from 1 species